GCCAGCACCCAUAUCACUCUGCAACUCACAACUCACAACUCACAACUGGCAACCUAUUGCUGCUAAGCAGGUGUGAGCCUGCUCAGUACCUGGAUGGGAGACCUCCUGGGAAAAACUAAGGUUGCUGCUGGAA
rnacentral:rRNA from 1 species